GAACCAGUACCGUGAGGGAAAGGUGAAAAGUACCCUGAAUAAGGGGGUGAAAUAGAACCUGAAACCGCACGCCUACAAGCGGUCGGAGCAACUUUGUGUUGUGACGGCGUGCCUUUUGCAUAAUGAGCCUACGAGUUACUCUUCCCUAGCGAGGUUAAGGCACUCAGUGCUGCAGCCGGAGCGAAAGCGAGUCUGAAUAGGGCGCAUAGUUAGUGGAGGUAGACGCGAAACCCGGUGAUCUACCCAUGACCAGGAUGAAGUUCAGGUAACACUGAAUGGAGGUCCGAACCAGUUGACGUUGAAAAGUCUUUGGAUGAGUUGUGGGUAGGGGUGAAAGGCCAAUCAAACUUGGAGAUAGCUCGUACUCCCCGAAAUAUAUUUAGGUAUAGCGUCUGGUUUUGUCUGUCCGGAGGUAGAGCACUGAUUAGGCUAGGGCCCUUCACCGGGUACCAACCCUAGACAAACUCCGAAUACCAGUGAUGAGCCGCCAGGCAGUCAGUCGCAGGGUGAUAACGUCCUGUGGCGAGAGGGGAACAACCCAGACCACCAGCUAAGGUCCCUAAAUACCGACUAAGUUGAUCAAAGAAAGUUGAGUUGCUCAGACAACUAGGAGGUUGGCUUAGAAGCAGCCAUUCCUUUAAAGAGUGCGUAAUAGCUCACUAGUCAAGCGACUCGGCGUCGAUAAUAAUCGGGCAUAAGUCGGUUACCGAAGCUGUGGGAUUUAACGAUCGGUAGGGGAGCAUUCCAGUCAGCGCAGAAGCA
rnacentral:rRNA from 1 species